AUUCUAGAGCUAAUACAUGCACAAAAGGCCCUUCACGGGGUUGUAUUUAUUAGAUAAAAGACCAAUGGCUUCGGCCUUGAGGUGAAUCAUGAUAACUGCUCGAAGCGCAUGGCCUUGUGCCGGCGCUGCAUCAUUCAAAUACCUGCCCUAUCAACUUUCGAUGGUAGGAUAGUGGCCUACUAUGGUGGUGACGGGUGACGGAGAAUUAGGGUUCGAUUCCGGAGAG
rnacentral:rRNA from 1 species